GACGAACCGUGCGAACGUUAUUCGGAAUCACUGGGCUUAAAGCGCGUGUAGGCGGGACGGCACGUCGGUCGCUGAAAUCCCCCGGCUUAACCGGGGAACUGGCGUCGAUACGACCGCCCUGGAGGGGCGUAGGGGGACCUGGAACUUCCGGUGGAGCGGUGAAAUGCGUUGAGAUCGGAAGGAACGCCCGUGGCGAAAGCGAGGUCCUGGACGCCUACUGACGGCUGAGACGCGAAAGCCAGGGGAGCGAACGGGAU
rnacentral:rRNA from 1 species